UUUCCCUACGGGAGGCAGCAGUGGGGAAUAUUGCACAAUGGGGGAAACCCUGAUGCAGCAACGCCGCGUGAGUGAAGAAGUAUUUCGGUAUGUAAAGCUCUAUCAGCAGGGAAGAAGAAAGACGGUACCUGACUAAGAAGCCCCGGCUAACUACGUGCCAGCAGCCGCGGUAAUACGUAGGGGGCAAGCGUUAUCCGGAUUUACUGGGUGUAAAGGGAGCGUAGACGGCAUAGCAAGUCUGAAGUGAAAGCCCGCGGCUCAACCGCGGAACUGCUUUGGAAACUUUUCGGCUAGAGUACCGGAGG
rnacentral:rRNA from 1 species